CAACAGGGAUUGCCCUAGUAACGGCGAGUGAAGCGGCAACAGCUCAAAUUUGAAAUCUGGCUUCGGCCCGAGUUGUAAUUUGCAGAGGAUGUUUCUGGCGCGGUGCCUUCCGAGUUCCCUGGAACGGGACGCCAUAGAGGGUGAGAGCCCCGUAUGGUUGGAUACCAAGCCUGUGUGAAACUCCUUCGACGAGUCGAGUAGUUUGGGAAUGCUGCUCAAAAUGGGAGGUAAAUCUCUUCUAAAGCUAAAUAUUGGCCAGAGACCGAUAGCGCACAAGUAGAGUGAUCGAAAGAUGAAAAGCACCUUGAAAAGGGGGUUAAACAGUACGUGAAAUUGUUGAAAGGGAAGCGCUCAUGACCAGACUUGUGCUGGGCAGCUCAUCCGGGGUUCUCCCCGGUGCAUUCUGCCCAGUUCAGGCCAGCAUCGAUUUUUGCUGGGGGAUAAGAACGGUAGGAACGUGGCCCUCCUUCGGGAGGGUGUUAUAGCCUACCGUACGAUACCCUAGCGGAGAUCGAGGUUCGCGCAUCUGCAAGGAUGCUGGCGUAAUGGUCAUCAGCGACCCGUCUUGAAACACGGACCAAGGAGUCGUCCAUUAGAGCGAGCGUUUGGGUGUAAAACCCGCACGCGUAAUGAAAGUGAAAUUAGGUGAGAGCUUCGGCGCAUCAUCGACCGAUCCUGAUGUUCUCGGAUGGAUUUGAGUAAGAGUUUUAACGGACGGACCCGAAGACAGUGAACUAUGCUUGUAUAGGGUGAAGCCAGAGGAAACUCUGGUGGAGGCUCGCAGCGGUUCUGACGUGCAAAUCGAUCGUCAAAUAUGAGCAUGGGGGCGAAAGACUAAUCGAACUGUC
rnacentral:rRNA from 1 species